AGGUGGCCAGCCAUGAAUUAAAGAUACUGAUGUCUUACAUACCUCUUGGCCAGAUGAAUAUCAUGACUGUGUCCAGCCUCGGUCUCCACUAGUGCAGAUGUCAAUGGAAAAGUUAUCCUGGCCACGGGAACGCAUAGAAGAAGGACGCUCAAGGAGGACCUCAGGUGGAGAUGAUUGGACCUUGAGCCAGGAGGUUAUCUCUUUGAAGGCUUGAAAUCAUUCCUGCCAGACCCUCACGCAAUACCUCGAGUACAUUAUUAGCCAGAAUCCUAAUGACACCCGGAAGGGGCAGGUGAGUUCCAGGUGUGGCUGAAGCCUGCGGAGCUCUGGUGGGCUGUUCGGC